rnacentral:rRNA from 1 species
AAUAUUGGACAAUGGGUGCAACCCUUAUCCAGCCAUGCCGCGUGUGUGAAGAAGGUCUUCGAAUUGUCACGCAAUUUAAGUUGGGAGAAAGGGCUUUAGGUUAAUACCCUGAAAUUUUGACGUUACCAACAGAUUAAGCACCGUCUAACUCUGUGCCAGCAGCCGCGGUAAUACAGAGGGUGCAAGCGUUAAUCGGAAUUACUGGGCGUAAAGCGAGCGUAGGUGGUUCAGUAAGAUGGGUGUGAAAUCCCCGGGCUUAACCUGGGAACUGCUUUCAUAACUGCUGAGCUAGAGUACGGUAGAGGGUAGUGGAAUUUCCUGUGUAGCGGUGAAAUGCGUAGAUAUAGGAAGGAACACCAGUGGCGAAGGCGACUACCUGGACUGAUACUGACACUGAGGUGCGAAAGCGUGGGGAGCAAAC